CAGGAAGUGAAGAAGGGUCUGGAAUGAGCACACCUAAGGCCUGAGGAAAGGCCCAGAGGGGUGGAGCUGCAGCUGCUCAGCUGGUCCCACCGGGUCCUUUCUUCCUGUGACACACAAAAGAGGAGGCGGGGACGGGGGCGGUGUUGUAAUUUGCACCCAGGACAGGAAGCGCUGGAAAGGGAAGUCGGCAAUGCCAGCAUGAGCCAUUUGUUCCCGAGGCCACUUGGGCUCUGGCUGCUCACGGGGCAGCCUGCUGGAGGAGGACAGCCGCUUCCAGUUGCUCCUGUGGGGUGGGGCUUGCCCCCAGGGCCCCCUCAGGCCCUCACCCCACCCCCCUUAUCUAUCUAUCCACCCCAGCAAGCAGGUGCAGCUACGGGAAGAAUGCCUGGGGAUUUAAAGAAGGAACCAACUCCACUAACACCGGGAUCUUAGAUUUCGGGCCUCCAGAACCAUGGGACAAUUUCUUGAUUAAGCCACCCACUGUGUGAUAUCUGUAACAGCAGCCCCCACAGCCUGAUUCUGUCUGGAUCUGUCCAGACGACAGCAGGGGCAGGCCACACCAGGCUGCGCUUGUCAUACCUGUGAAGGGUGGGAGGCCAGGCAUGAGCCGUGUCAGUCAUGUGCUGGAUGCUGCAAUGACAGGAGCAAGGUGUCCUGGGGGUCUUGAUGUCCAGCGAGCCCUGACCUUGAACCCCCUGCUUCUGUGUGAGCAUGAAGAUGGCUCAGGCGUGUAUAAACAACCUUGUUAUGCUGUUAAGUGUUCUGCUAGUCGUGGAAAGCUGUGCAUCUUGAAUACAGAUGGGGGCCUUGGUGUGGUCUGCCUGCCCCCUCUGUAAGCCCCGUUUUGGGGAGAGGACUGAGGGACCCUCUGACCAGGUAGCAUGGAUAUGUGACACCCACUGGGACUGGAUGUUCUAGCUAAAGACCACAAGGUGACAACAACCAGAGGGUCAUCAGACACUCAGGGGGUCUCUCCAGGAAGUUGAGGGUCACAGGUGUUGUUCAGGGCAGGGCAACUCCAAGCAUGCCUCCUGGGAUCACCAGGGCCACUUGGGACCUUUGGAGAGAUGCAAACUCAGGCUCCACCCCAGACCUACUGAAUCAGGAACUCUAGGGUGGGGAUCCCCGGGAGUUGCUGAUGUGUCCGGAAGUUGAGAAACAUGGGUGCUGGGGACAAGCAUGGCUCUGGGGACAAAUGGGGUUCAGUUUGAGAAGUGGCCUUCUGCUUACUGAGCUUUUGUUCUCUUAUACUUAAUAAAGGCAUUUAAAAAAAGCAUCUAACUUUCCCUACCGAGUUUCUAAAGUUGUGAAUAGUGUAUUAGAUAAUGCAUGUGAGUGUGGGAUCCAGUACAAAGACAGGAAACACUAGCUAGUUAUUGUCUUAUUAUAAUUAUUAUUCUCCGGUCAGCUUCUGGAGAGCAGGUCUUCCUACCCAAAGCUUUGGAGCCUCAGGAGCUGGUUAGAAACCCUCAGUGUGACCCCAGCCCUCUCUCUCAGACUGGAUGUCUGGCUGCCUCGGAGCUCUCCACCACGCAGCAGAGCAGGGGAGGCCGCCUCGCUCAGGGUGCUAGAGGCCAGAGGACUUCUAAGCCAAGAGUUGUCAGGAAUCUGGGCCCCAACUUGCUCCAGGAAUUCUGGCCCAAGAUAAGGCAACACCAUCAUUAUACCCCACGCGACAGUGCAAACUCAGGGCCUCAGCAGGAUCCAAACAAGCAAGCCUGGCGGCAUUCUGGGCAGGAGGGGGCUCUGAGGGGAAGAGCAAAGUGAUCACUACUUGUGUGUAUGAAGUGGGGGGGGGGGGGUGUGUAAAGAUUGCCCAGGUGCCCAGGCAGUCCAGGGUUCCAGGUACCAGGGAGGGCGGGAAUACGGGCUUAUUGUUCCUGUUGUCUUGCCAACUUCUUGAUUAGGUCGUCCCUUUGAGCACCUGGCUUUGUGACCCAGAGAGGAGGAGGCUGUUCAAAGCUGUAACAGAGCUCUGUGCUUGUACUGGCUUUACGGCUGCUGGAGACAGUCGCCCCGAGCAGUUCAGAAAGGCCAAGGGAGACGUGCACACUCAGCGAGCUCACGCCCGGACUGUGCCUUUCCUGCCCUGCCCCACCCCUCCACCAGGAAGAUUUACUGGGUGAUGCUGGAUGUGGGGGUGGGGGGCACGGCCUUGGGACUCCCAGACCUGCUUACGUGCACAACCGGGCCACAGCCAGCCAGCCUCUUCUUGCUCAGGGGCUGAGGUGGGGCCCAUACUCCCUCACACCUUCCCCUAGGUCCUUCCCAAGAUGCCCUGGGAGGUAAUCCAGUGUUGGGCCAGUAUGUCAGGGUCAUGAAGAGGCCGAGAUACAGUGGCUUCCCCUGAGGUCAAAGGGCUUUGGCCCUGUCUGCACGGGUACCACGUUACUGGGUCUGCUCUUGACUUCGGUGUCCCUCCGCAGUGGGCUCUGAUCCCUUUCCCAAGCGUGACCCACUCCAACCUCUGCAGGGAUAACCAGCCAUAUUCCCCCAUUGACUCUCCUGGCCGCCCCUCAAAUGGGGUGAGAACAUUAACAUGCCAGCAAAAGAUACGCCCAGCCGCAGACAAAUCAGAGAGAGGAAUAUAUAUUCCUGUCUGCCUUACAUUCAGAUAUACAUUUUCCUCUGAUCAUCCUUAUUUACAUGUCUCUUUUACUAUCUGGAUUCUUGAAAAUGAUCUAAAAUUAUUUAUUCAAGAAUCUAAAAUGCUUGAAAAUGAUCUAAAAAAUUUAUCAUGUUUAGUGGCAAUCUACUUCUUAUCUCAAAAAGGGAUGAAGUGUGGGAAGAAAAUUAACCCCCAAGUCAAGGCACAGGCUAAGACAUAUGGAAAGGGACGGGGGGGUUGUCUGUGCUGAGUUGACCGUUAUGCCCACUCAGGGUCUUGACCAUCUCUACCCCCCUUUCCCCUGUUCCCUCCCCAAGAAAGAGAGGAGGAUGCCACUUGCAGAGAAACAUCUCUCUCCCUCUGCUCCUCACUGGUAAGGGAAAGAGCUGGGAGAAGCAGCUUCUCCUCUUCCCAUCAGCCGUACCCCCCCCAUCCCCGCGCGCCGCGCCCCUCACUGAAGGAGGCUUCUUGGCACACCCGCCCUCAUCCAGCCUUCUGACACCCUCUGUCUCCAGCCUGUCCCAGUCUCAGUCACUCGGUGUGCCCUGAGCCUUCAGCAGUGAGCCUGUAACCUUCCCCAGACACCGGUACUGCUUAAUUAUUUUAAGGUAUACAGUUCAGUGGCAGGAAAUACCUUCAUAUUGUCAUGCGAACCACUACCUCCCAGCUCCAGAACUAAUCUUGCACAACAGAAACUCUGGAAAAUUUUGACAACAUGGUAUAACAAGGAUGAAGCUUGAAGACAUUAUACUAAGCGAAACGAGUCUGUCACAGCAGGACAAAUGCUGUAGGAUUCCACUGCUAGGAGGUAACCAGAGUUACCAAAUUCAUAGACCGGGAGAGUGGAAGGCUGGGGGCCAGGGCUGGGCAGAAGGGGAAGUGAGGGGGUAGCGCUGAAUGGGGACAGAGUUUCAGUUUUGCAAGACGAAAAGAGUUUUUUGGA